rnacentral:lncRNA from 1 species
CCCUGCUUUCUGCAUGGCUCUGCUUCCCAGAGUCCUGGGCAUGCAUACAGGUCACAGACUCCCCUGUCCGAGUUUCAUCUUUGAGAGAGUUUUGUGGGUGGGAAAAUUAGAUGUGGGCUCUUUGGUCCCAGGUGUCAGCUUAGGGCUUUGCUGGGCCAAAAGGUCACACGGUACAAUUUCCAGGCUGCGUUCUGUAAGUUGGGAAGACUUCUGCAAGAGGCUGCUACUGGCCCUGAUCCUUUCUCUUGCUGAUAUAUGCCAUCACAUCCCUUCCAAAACCCCAAAACUUCUAGAUUCCCCUGUAGUUAAAGCAGAGGGCAUGUAUUGGAAGGAGAAAAUCAGGUGUGCAUAGGGUGGCGGCUAGGGCAGUUAGCUGAACUUGAUACAUUCUUUUCUCCAGGAUCGUAUUGCUGUGUAGCCCAGGCUAGACUCACAACAUAUCUCAUGUCCUGAGACUUACAGACUUGUCCCACCAAGCCCCGCUGUAUUUUUUUUUUCUUGAUAAUAAAGACAUGCUAUUCUCCUUACAAA